GCCCUCUAGCUUCGUCCCCAUGAGAUCUGAACACUGAUCUGAGUGGUUACCACAGGAGGAAAAGUAACAUUGAAACUGACUUCAAGAGUUUUGCAGCAUAUGGGCUAGUUUCAAACCAGU
rnacentral:snoRNA from 1 species